rnacentral:rRNA from 1 species
UACGGGAGGCAGCAGUGGGGAAUUUUGGACAAUGGGGGCAACCCUGAUCCAGCAAUGCCGCGUGUGCGAAGAAGGCCUUCGGGUUGUAAAGCACUUUUGUCAGGGAAGAAAUCCCUUGGGCUAAUACCCUAGGGGGAUGACGGUACCUGAAGAAUAAGCACCGGCUAACUACGUGCCAGCAGCCGCGGUAAUACGUAGGGUGCAAGCGUUAAUCGGAAUUACUGGGCGUAAAGCGUGCGCAGGCGGUUCUAUAAGACAGGCGUGAAAUCCCCCGGGCUUAACCUGGGAAUUGCGUUUUGUGACUGUAGGACUAGAGUGCGUCAGAGGGGGUGGAAUUCCACGUGUAGCAGUGAAAUGCGUAGAGAUGUGGAGGAACACCAAUGGCGAAAGGCAGCCCCCUGGGAUGACACUGACGCUCAUGCACGAAAGCGUGGGGAGCAAACAGGGAUUAGAUACC